rnacentral:rRNA from 1 species
GAUGAACGCUAGCGGCAGGCUUAACACAUGCAAGUCGAGGGGCAGCAUAGAGGUUAGCAAUAACUUCUGAUGGCGACCGGCGCAAGGGUGCGUAACGCGUAAGCAACUUGCCCUUAUCAGGGGGAUAACCAAUGGAAACGUUGACUAAUACCCCAUAGUAUAACAUCAAGGCAUCUUUUGUUAUUAAAGAAUUUCGGAUAAGGAUAGGCCCGCGUGACAUUAGCUAGAUGGCGGGGUAACGGCCCACCAUGGCGACGAUGUCUAGGGGUUCUGAGAGGAAGGUCCCCCACACUGGAACUGAGACACGGUCCAA